AUUGAACGCUGGCGGCAGGCCUAACACAUGCAAGUCGAGCGGAUGAAGGGAGCUUGCUCCUGGAUUCAGCGGCGGACGGGUGAGUAAUGCCUAGGAAUCUGCCUGGUAGUGGGGGAUAACGUCCGGAAACGGGCGCUAAUACCGCAUACGUCCUGAGGGAGAAAGGGGGGGAGCUUCGGACCUCACGCUAUCAGAUGAGCCUAGGUCGGAUUAGCUAGUUGGUGGGGUAAAGGCCUACCAAGGCGACGAUCCGUAACUGGUCUGAGAGGAUGAUCAGUCACACUGGAACUGAGACACGGUCCAGACUCCUACGGGAGGCAGCAGUGGGGAAUAUUGGACAAUGGGCGAAAGCCUGAUCCAGCCAUGCCGCGUGUGUGAAGAAGGUCUUCGGAUUGUAAAGCACUUUAAGUUGGGAGGAAGGGCAGUAAGUUAAUACCUUGCUGUUUUGACGUUACCAACAGAAUAAGCACCGGCUAACUUCGUG
rnacentral:rRNA from 1 species